rnacentral:lncRNA from 1 species
AGAGGCGACCAUGGACUGUGUGGCAUACCUGAGCCAGCACCUCACGCCCGCUGAGCAGAUGCAGGUGGUUCAGCUGCUGUCUACCACGGAGAGCCCAGCUUCCCACUGAGCAACCCUGGCCAUCCCCAGGACCCUGGACGGUGGGAAUGGCCGCGCAGCAGGCCUUCGCAGUACGCCAGGACUAAUUUUGGGAAAACUGGAGCUACACUCCAAGUGUAGCUGUGGUUCCUGACCAGUGUCUUCCUAGAGAAAAGGCUCCCAUGUUCCUACUAGGUGGGCACAGCCUCUCCUCACCUGGGGACUUCAGGGUUUGUCCCAGUGAAUAACUGGCUGCCUCUCUGAGGCAAACUGAAUGGGGCAUCCUAUGUUCCGUGUUUUGUUUGUUUGUUUGUUUGUUUGGCUUGGGAUGGGGAUCGUGUCUCGGCGCUCCCUGUCUGAUCAGAAGACACAUGUGGUUCGCACUCAGUCCCUGGUUAAGCCAAAGAAAACGCCAGAUGAGACCCGAGAAAACGUCUUUUUGUAAUGAGGCUUAUUAGACUUCUAGGCAUCCAAGCAGGGGCAAAAAUGAUUCCCUCUUUUUCUUUUCUCAAGAGAAUAAAAUGACAUUUUGUUCUUCAAGUGGCCCCAGUAGGGCAGGACAGCCAUCUUAUGGACAGGCUAUCUCCAGAGGUACAGGGGGAAUGGAUAGGAGGCUUGGAUACGCCAUGGCUGGCAGAGACCAACUGCCUCGGACUCCGGGGCUCUGUAAGCCCUUUCUUCCCAAGUGGAGCCAGCACUGGCCUUCACUCCAUGCCUCCUGCAGACUGGCCACCCUCAUGGUACCAUGAGUGCCCUACUGCCUGAGCUCGGAGCUGCCCCGCCCCCGCCCCUCCCAGGACCACUUCCUCACUUUGUGCCUUGAUACCACGGCUCCUCUGGGCCAGUGACCCAGGACUGUGCUGCGAACACCCAGGAUCUGCUCACAGACUUCCCCAGCACUCGCAGGUUCCGCCGCAUGAGGGCCUCGAAUGAGACAUUGUUCUGUGCCAUGACCCGGGCUGGGGAAUCCAUCUGCGCUCCUCCUUCUGGGCAGUGUGUCUGAAGACACCAAGCGUCACUUCAGGCUGAGGUCCCAGAUACUCAGGGAAUCAUCUGCAAACCAGGCUGAAACGGAAAUGUCCCGCCAUCAGCCAAGGACAGCCCUGGUGGCUGAGGGGGCCUGGGGCGAGUGGAGAAAAGUUGCUGUUCUGGGGGAUGAAGAGUUCUGGGCAAGGUCCUUUUGCUGUGGAGGACAGCCUAGACUGUCGCUCGCUGCUGCCCUGACCACUUGGGUGCGCCGAAGAGGCUACCGGGAGAUCUGCAAAAUAAACUAUUUUUUUGAAGGAC